AACGAACGCUGGCGGCAGGCCUAACACAUGCAAGUCGAGCGCGCCCUUCGGGGUGAGCGGCGGACGGGUGAGUAACGCGUGGGAACGUGCCCUUCUCUGCGGAAUAGCCUCGGGAAGCUGAGAGUAAUACCGCAUACGCCCUUUGGGGGAAAGAUUUAUCGGAGAAGGAUCGGCCCUCGUUGGAUUAGGUAGUUGGUGGGGUAAUGGCACACCAAGCCGACGAUCCUUAGCUGGUUUGAGAGGAUGAGCAGCCACACUGGGACUGAGACACGGCCCAGCCUCCUACGGGAGGCAGCAGUGGGGAAUCUUAGACAAUGGGGGCAACCCUGAUCUAGCCAUGCCGCGUGAGUGAUGAAGGCCUUAGGGUUGUAAAGCUCUUUCAGCUGGGAAGAUAAUGACGGUACCAGCAGAAGAAGCCCCGGCUAACUACGUG
rnacentral:rRNA from 1 species